rnacentral:rRNA from 1 species
AACGAACGCUGGCGGCAUGCCUAACACAUGCAAGUCGAACGAGACCUUCGGGACUUGUGGCGCACGGGUGCGUAACGCGUGGGAACCUGCCCUUAGGUUCGGAAUACCUCCCCGACAGGGGUGCUAAUACCGGAUAAUGUCUUCUGCCCAAAGAUUUAUCGACUUUGGAUGGGCCCGCGUUGGAUUAGCUAGUUGGUAGGGUAAAAGCCUACCAAGGCGACGAUCCAUAGCUGGUCUGAGAGGAUGAUCAGCCACACUGGGACUAGGACGCGGCCCAGAAUCCUACGGGAGGGAGCAGUGGGUGAUGGUGGAAAGUGGGCGGAAGCAUGAUCCAGCAAGGCCGGGUGAGUGAUGAAGGCAUUAGGGUUGUAAAGCUCUUUUAACCGGGAUGAUAAUGACAGUACCGGGAGAAUAAGCUCCGGCUAACUCCGUG